GUCAUUGUGGCGCAAUGGAUAGCGCGUUGGACUUCUAAUUCAAAGGUCGUGGGUUCAAGUCCCACCUGGGAUG
rnacentral:tRNA from 1 species